GACGAACGCUGGCGGCGUGCUUAACACAUGCAAGUCGAACGGAAAGGCCCUGCUUUUGUGGGGUGCUCGAGUGGCGAACGGGUGAGUAACACGUGAGUAACCUGCCCUUGACUUUGGGAUAACUUCAGGAAACUGGGGCUAAUACCGGAUAGGAGCUCCUGCUGCACGGUGGGGGUUGGAAAGUUUCGGCGGUUGGGGAUGGACUCGCGGCUUAUCCGCUUGUUGGUGGGGUAGUGACUUACCAAGGCUUUGACGGGUAGCCGGCCUUAGGGGGUGACCGGCCACAUUGGUACUGAGAUACGGCCCAGACGCCUAUGGGCGGCAGCGGUGGAGAGUCUUGCAGAAUGGGCGGAAGCCUGAUGUAGCAACGCCCCGUUCGGGAUGACGGCCUUCUGGUUGUAAACCGCUUUCGCCUUUGCCGAAGCGAGAGUGACGGUAAUUGGUAAAGAAGCACCGGCUAACUACGUG
rnacentral:rRNA from 1 species